UCGAACGGGAAAUACUUCAUUGAGACUUCGGUGGAUUUGAUUUAUUUCUAGUGGCGGACGGGUGAGUAACGCGUGGGUAACCUGCCUUAUACAGGGGGAUAACAGUCAGAAAUGGCUGCUAAUACCGCAUAAGCGCACAGAGCUGCAUGGCUCAGUGUGAAAAACUCCGGUGGUAUAAGAUGGACCCGCGUUGGAUUAGCUGGUUGGUGGGGUAACGGCCCACCAAGGCGACGAUCCAUAGCCGGCCUGAGAGGGUGAAUGGCCACAUUGGGACUGAGACACGGCCCAGACUCCUACGGGAGGCAGCAGUGGGGAAUAUUGCACAAUGGGGGAAACCCUGAUGCAGCGACGCCGCGUGAAGGAAGAAGUAUCUCGGUAUGUAAACUUCUAUCAGCAGGGAAGAUAGUGACGGUACCUGACUAAGAAGCCCCGGCUAACUACGUGCCAGCAGCCGCGGUAAUACGUAGGGGGCAAGCGUUAUCCGGAUUUACUGGGUGUAAAGGGAGCGUAGACGGUGUGGCAAGUCUGAUGUGAAAGGCAUGGGCUCAACCUGUGGACUGCAUUGGAAACUGUCAUACUUGAGUGCCGGAGGGGCAAGCGGAAUUCCUAGUGUAGCGGUGAAAUGCGUAGAUAUUAGGAGGAACACCAGUGGCGAAGGCGGCUUACUGGACGGUAACUG
rnacentral:rRNA from 1 species